GCUAAGGGCACGCCUGCCUGGGCGUCGUGUGUUGUGUCUCUCUUGCCAAUGCCUGUCCAUAUAUCUAGGCUUGCAUUGUGCGGAUGCGAAAGAUUGGCCCCUUGUGCCUUGGCGCGUUGGGUCUAAGGAAUGUUUUGAUGGCCCGAAACUUGGCAGGAGGUGGAGGACAU
rnacentral:rRNA from 1 species